rfam:Yersinia ruckeri strain 37551 YRO1b0000006, whole genome shotgun sequence.
CGCUCUGACUCGGGGUGCCACCGGUUGAUUAACUUGGUGGCUGAGAUUUUACCCGUAUUACCUGAUCUGGAUUAUGCCAGCGUAGGGAAGUCUCGGGCCUUUCAG